rnacentral:lncRNA from 1 species
UGCUGGUUCUGGCCCCACCUACACCUUCCUUUUCACUACACUGAACCGAUAAUGCAGGACCAGCUGCAGCAGAGAAUUACAUCUUGCUACCUGCCCCAGUCAGCUCCAGCCCCUGUAGCAGGUGAAGCAGCUCCUUUGCAACACAUACGGAAUCUCCAUCAGGUGGGACAAAUUCCAAGGUCACCUUCAAUGCCAAGAUAGGUGAUAAGAGGACUUAGAGCUAGUAGGCACUUGUUGUGACUUGCAGAGUCCCAGUAGGAUCAGCUUGAUUGUAAUAUGGCUCCAGAAGGUCACACCCCCAACCUCUUUGUCUCUUCUGCAGGGCUCAGCUUGACUCGUCCUGCUGUGAGCACUUCAGCCCAGAGAUGCCCAAACAGCUUGCACUACUGCUUCCUUGCCACAUCUGAGCCCAGGAGACAGGGAACAAAGGAUAAGGAGGAGAGCAGUCCAGAUUCAGGAUUCCCUUCACCCACUAGUCCUCGUAUUGAACACUAGGUUUUCUCUCCAGAACUGCAGACAAGGACAUAUCCCACAAAAUACAGAAACAGACAAAAGAACUGACAGAUUUAGAGACUGACAUUCCAUCAAGGCAUUCUGGUGACAAACGAAGAAUGAAAUGCAUAUUUUCUGAGUAGUUGC